AAAAGAACAUAUCUAUAAUAAAAAUUAAUCCAAUAGAAUUUGUACUAAUAAUGGAUCAUCAACAAAUACGUUUUCAAGCUUAUAUAGUUCUUUAAAUAAAAAAAACUGAAUAUUGAUUACCUAAGAAUUCCAGGUUCGGUACUACGUUAUUCGAAAGCAACGAAGACAUUUUUUUGCAGAUAAAGAAUGUGUUCCGUUUCUCGCAUGAUACGCGUGAUGUAUCAUUUAUCCUUAUCACAAUACAUUAAACAAAGAUAAAUGAUGCAUUAUGCGCAUCAUGCAAGAAAUGGAACGCAUCCAAAAUGACAAUAAUGACCGGAAUGAAUAUUAGCCACAUUUAAAAAAAUAAUUUUGCUCGAUAUGUUGGCACUAUUGACGUCUAUGGACGACAUGGUCAAACUUAGGAUCGAGCUGUGUUUCGCAGUGUCAUUCUGUGUCUCUCUGUGUCAUAGAUGGAAAGCACCAGUGUAGACAUACAGUGUCGCCUGUGUACGUUGUUGGAAAGCACCUCCGGUUUCAUCGUUCAUUUUCACUGCGAAAGAAAUUAUUAGUGACAUAACUAGAAGUAGUAAAGAUCUAUUCAUAUCAAAAUAUUCCAAAAACUACACUGAAGGCAACUUCACGACUGUAAAUAUAACUUUAAUAUUUAGCAAAAUAAAGAGAUACGAACUUAGAUAUUCCUAUCCGUGCAAAAAAGAUAAAUACAUCAACGGCAAUAAGGAAGACAAUUACUGAUAAUUUGUAUGUAUUUCAAACAAACAGAAGCAUAAGAGCUAAGCCAGCUUUAAGAGCUAAGGUCGCUUGAAGACGUCCAAAGUGAUGAACUGCAAUUCAUCGAAGAGUACGAGUCGUUAAAUGAGUUUGCAUCUAACGAAAGAAUCUACACAUCGAAUUUUGUAGGAAAAAAACGUUCUUUAAUCAUAGAAACUGCAAAUCAUAAUUCAAAUAAUGAAGCUGAUAAAGAAAUUAUAAGUGGCGGAAAUGAUAAUUGUACGUUUUAAAUGUGAAAUUAGAUAAGUUUUCUGAAAAUAUUAUAAUUGACUAAAUGACGUUUAUUUAUGGGAAGUUUAAUAAAUAAUAAAAAAUGUAAUUACAA